AUGCAGUCGGACGGUAGCACAGAGGAGCUUGCUCCUCGGGUGACGAGUGGCGGACGGGUGAGUAAUGUCUGGGGAUCUGCCCGAUAGAGGGGGAUAACCACUGGAAACGGUGGCUAAUACCGCAUAACGUCGCAAGACCAAAGAGGGGGACCUUCGGGCCUCUCACUAUCGGAUGAACCCAGAUGGGAUUAGCUAGUAGGCGGGGUAACGGCCCACCUAGGCGACGAUCCCUAGCUGGUCUGAGAGGAUGACCAGCCACACUGGAACUGAGACACGGUCCAGACUCCUACGGGAGGCAGCAGUGGGGAAUAUUGCACAAUGGGCGCAAGCCUGAUGCAGCCAUGCCGCGUGUAUGAAGAAGGCCUUCGGGUUGUAAAGUACUUUCAGCGGGGAGGAAGGCGAUGUGGUUAAUAACCGCNUCGAUUGACGUUACCCGCAGAAGAAGCACCGGCUAACUCCGUGCCAGCAGCCGCGGUAAUACGGAGGGUGCAAGCGUUAAUCGGAAUUACUGGGCGUAAAGCGCACGCANGCGGUCUGUUAAGUCAGAUGUGAAAUCCCCGGGCUUAACCUGGGAACUGCAUUUGAAACUGGCNNGCUUGAGUCUCGUAGAGGGGGGUAGAAUUCCGNGUGUAGCGGUGAAAUGCGUAGAGAUCUGGAGGAAUACCGGUGGCNANNGCGGCCCCCUGGACGAAGACUGACGCUCANGUGCGAAAGCGUGNGGAGCAAACANGAUUAGAUACCCUGGUAGUCCACGCCGUANACGAUGUCGACUUGNANGUUGUUCCCUUGANGAGUGGCUUCCGGANCUAACGCGUUAANUCNACCGCCUGGGGAGUANNNCGCNAGGUUAAAACUCAAAUGAAUUUGACGGGGGCCCGCACAAGCGGUGGANCAUGUGGUUUANUUCNAUGCAACGCGAANAANCCUUACCUACUCUUGACNUCCANAGAANUUAGCANANAUGCUUNGGUNNCNUCGGGAACUCUGANACNNNGCUGC
rnacentral:rRNA from 1 species